rnacentral:rRNA from 1 species
GACGAACGCUGGCGGCGUGCUUAACACAUGCAAGUCGAACGGAAAGGCCCUGCUUUUGUGGGGUGCUCGAGUGGCGAACGGGUGAGUAACACGUGAGUAACCUGCCCUUGACUUUGGGAUAACUUCAGGAAACUGGGGCUAAUACCGGAUAGGAGCUCCUGCUGCAUGGUGGGGGUUGGAAAGUUUCGGCGGUUGGGGAUGGACUCGCGGCUUAUCAGCUUGUUGGUGGGGUAGUGGCUUGCCAAGGCUUUGACGGGUAGCCGGCCUGAGAGGGUGACCGGCCACAUGGGGACUAAGGGAGGGCCCAGACUCCUACGGGAGGCAGCAGGGGGGAAUAUUGCACAGUGGGCGGAAGCCUGAUGCAGCGACGCCGCGUGCGGGAUGACGGCCUUCGGGUUGUAAACCGCUUUCGCCUGUGACGAAGCGUUAGUGACGGUAAUGGGUAAAGAAGCACCGGCUAACUACGUG